GAUGAACGCUAGCGGCAGGCCUAAUACAUGCAAGCUGAACGGCAAGAUUUGUAGCAAUACGAGUCCUAGAGUAGCGUAAGGGUGCGUAACACGUAUGCAAUCUGCCCGCAACAGGAGGAUAGCUUAGCGAAAGUUGAGAUAAGACUCCAUAAGAUCACGAGAGGGCAUCUGAUUGUGAUUAAACUACAAGGGGUUGCGGAUGAGCANGCGUCUGAUUAGUUAGUUGGCGGGGUAAC
rnacentral:rRNA from 1 species